GGUGAAGAGGAGCUUGCUCCUUGGAUCAGUGGCGAACGGGUGAGUAACACGUGAGCAAUCUGCCCUUGACUCUGGGAUAACUGCGGGAAACUGUAGCUAAUACCGGAUAUUACCUUGGAAGGCAUCUUCUGGGGUGGAAAGAAUUUUGGUCAAGGAUGAGCUCGCGGCCUAUCAGCUAGUUGGUGAGGUAAUGGCUCACCAAGGCGACGACGGGUAGCCGGCCUGAGAGGGUGACCGGCCACACUGGGACUGAGACACGGCCCAGACUCCUACGGGAGGCAGCAGUGGGGAAUAUUGCACAAUGGGCGCAAGCCUGAUGCAGCAACGCCGCGUGAGGGACGACGGCCUUCGGGUUGUAAACCUCUUUUAGUAGGGAAGAAGCGACUGGGUUUUCCUGGGAGUGACGGUACCUGCAGAAAAAGCACCGGCUAACUACGUGCCAGCAGCCGCGGUAAUACGUAGGGUGCAAGCGUUGUCCGGAAUUAUUGGGCGUAAAGAGCUCGUAGGCGGUUUGUCGCGUCUGCUGUGAAAACCCGAGGCUCAACCUCGGGCCUGCAGUGGGUACGGGCAGACUAGAGUGCGGUAGGGGAGAUUGGAAUUCCUGGUGUAGCGGUGGAAUGCGCAGAUAUCAGGAGGAACACCAAUGGCGAAGGCAGAUCUCUGGGCCGUA
rnacentral:rRNA from 1 species